AUUGAACGCUGGCGGCAGGCCUAACACAUGCAAGUCGAACGGUAACAGGAAGCAGCUUGCUGCUUCGCUGACGAGUGGCGGACGGGUGAGUAAUGUCUGAGAAGCUGCCUGAUGGAGGGGGAUAACUACUGGAAACGGUAGCUAAUACCGCAUAAUGUCGCAAGACCAAAGAGGGGGACCUUCGGGCCUCUUGCCAUCGGAUGUGCCCAGAUGGGAUUAGCUUGUUGGUGGGGUAACGGCUCACCAAGGCGACGAUCCCUAGCUGGUCUGAGAGGAUGACCAGCCACACUGGAACUGAGACACGGUCCAGACUCCUACGGGAGGCAGCAGUGGGGAAUAUUGCACAAUGGGCGCAAGCCUGAUGCAGCCAUGCCGCGUGUAUGAAGAAGGCCUUCGGGUUGUAAAGUACUUUCAGCGGGGAGGAAGGGAGUAAAGUUAAUACCUUUGCUCAUUGACGUUACCCGCAGAAGAAGCACCGGCUAACUCCGUG
rnacentral:rRNA from 1 species